GCUAGAGGUCUAUCGAAUUCUGCAGGUAACGCCAUCCAGGCGUUUGGAAACGGGACGGACGUGAGCGUGUGGCAUUCGUCUGCAGUGCAGAGCACCACGGCCGCCAUCACCCCAUCACACAGAGGCCGAGGACGUGAGAAAUCCUCCAACUCCCUGGACUCGGACUCGCACGGCAGCCACGUGAACCUUGGAGAUACUUCGAUGUAUCAGUUCUGUGGAAACCUGCAGGCACAGAAGCUGAAGACCAACCAAACAAUAGAUGUGGUUUGUGUGGAUCCUCAGAUCGACAACCCCAGCUCCUCCAACUCCAUCUCGGGGAACUCAGCAUCUCCGCCAGGCUUUAGUGCUCCGCUUCUCCUGCUGCUCAGCUCUUUGCACUGCUCCCUGACGCUCCUGUCACCCAACCCGGCACUGCUGUGGUAGCCACCCGGCCGACGCACCACGUGGACGCUCGUAAUUUGUAUUAAAAAAAAAAAAAAUCUCGGAUAUAUGUUCCAGGUGUCCCUGUUGUAAUCACGUCCUCUCACUGUCUCCUCUGUAUUUUUACAGCUCUGAGUUUUCUGAGCUUCGGUUGAUGCGAAAGUGAUUUUUGGUGUAAUCCGAGUUUUAUUUUUUAUU